GACGAACGCUGGCGGCGUGCUUAACACAUGCAAGUCGAACGGAAAGGCCCUGCUUUUGUGGGGUGCUCGAGUGGCGAACGGGUGAGUAACACGUGAGUAACCUGCCCUUGACUUUGGGAUAACUUCAGGAAACUUGGUCUAAUACCGGCUAGGAUCUCCUGCUGCAUGGUGGGGGUUGGAAAGUUUCGGCGGUUGGUGAUGUACUCGCGUCUUAUCAGCUUGUUGGGGGGGUAGUGGCUUACCAAGGCUUUGACGGGUAGCCGGCCUGAGAGGGUGACCGGCCAAAUUGGGACGGGGAUGAGACACAGCCCAGAACGGGAGGAAACAGUGGGGAAUAUAGCAAAAUGGGAGGAGGCAAGAUGUAGCAAAGCAGCGUGCGGGAUGAGGGCAUUCGGGUAGUGAACCGCUUCCGCCUGUGACGAAGCGAGAGUGACGGUACUGGGUAAAGAAGCACCGGCUAACUACGUG
rnacentral:rRNA from 1 species